rnacentral:rRNA from 1 species
AUUGAACGCUGGCGGCAUGCUUUACACAUGCAAGUCGAACGGCAGCGCGGGCUUCGGCCUGGCGGCGAGUGGCGAACGGGUGAGUAAUGCAUCGGAACGUGCCCAGCAGCGGGGGAUAGCGCGGCGAAAGCCGGAUUAAUACCGCAUACGACCUGAGGGUGAAAGCGGGGGACCGAAAGGCCUCGCGCCAUUGGAGCGGCCGAUGUCGGAUUAGCUAGUUGGUGGGGUAAAGGCUUACCAAGGCGACGAUCCGUAGCUGGUCUGAGAGGACGACCAGCCACACUGGGACUGAGACACGGCCCAGACUCCUACGGGAGGCAGCAGUGGGGAAUUUUGGACAAUGGGGGCAAGCCUGAUCCAGCCAUGCCGCGUGCGUGAAGAAGGCCUUCGGGUUGUAAACCGCUUUUGUUGGGGAAGAAAACCUCUGGGCUAAUACCCCGGGGGGAUGACGGUACCGGAAGAAUAAGCACCGGCUAACUACGUG